AGUGAACGCUGGCGGUAGGCCUAACACAUGCAAGUCGAACGGCAGCACAGUAAGAGCUUGCUCUUACGGGUGGCGAGUGGCGGACGGGUGAGGAAUACAUCGGAAUCUACUUUUUCGUGGGGGAUAACGUAGGGAAACUUACGCUAAUACCGCAUACGACCUACGGGUGAAAGCAGGGGAUCUUCGGACCUUGCGCGAUUGAAUGAGCCGAUGUCGGAUUAGCUAGUUGGCGGGGUAAAGACCCACCAAGGCGACGAUCCGUAGCUGGUCUGAGAGGAUGAUCCGCCACACUAGAACUGAGACACGGUCCAGACUCCUACGGGAGGCAGCAGUGGGGAAUAUUGGACAAUGGGCGCAAGCCUGAUCCAGCCAUACCGCGUGUGUGAAGAAGGCCUUCGGGUUGUAAAGCCCUUUUGUUGGGAAAGAAAAGCAGCAGGUUAAUACCCCGCUGUUCUGACGGUACCCAAAGAAUAAGCACCGGCUAACUUCGUG
rnacentral:rRNA from 1 species